rnacentral:rRNA from 1 species
UACGGAGGGAGCUAGCGUUGUUCGGAAUUACUGGGCGUAAAGCGCGCGUAGGCGGCUUUGUAAGUUAGAGGUGAAAGCCCGGGGCUCAACCCCGGAAUUGCCUUUAAGACUGCAUCGCUUGAAUCCAGGAGAGGUGAGUGGAAUUCCGAGUGUAGAGGUGAAAUUCGUAGAUAUUCGCAAGAACACCAGUGGCGAAAGGCGGCUCACUGGCCCGAUACUGACGCUGAGGCACGAAAGCGUGGGGAGCAAACAGGGA